AGGACGAACGCUGGCGGCGUGCUUAACACAUGCAAGUCGAGCGGAAAGGCCCUUCGGGGUACUCGAGCGGCGAACGGGUGAGUAACACGUGAGCAAUCUGCCCUUAGCUUCGGGAUAGCCCCGGGAAACCGGGAUUAAUACCGAAUACGACCUCGGCCGACAUCGGCUUUGGUGGAAAGUUUUUCGGCUAGGGAUGAACUCGCGGCCUAUCAGCUUGUUGGUGGGGUAAUGGCCUACCAAGGCGACGACGGGUAGCCGGCCUGAGAGGGCGACCGGCCACACUGGGACUGAGACACGGCCCAGACUCCUACGGGAGGCAGCAGUGGGGAAUAUUGCGCAAUGGGCGAAAGCCUGACGCAGCGACGCCGCGUGGGGGAUGAAGGCCUUCGGGUUGUAAACCCUUUCAGCAGGGACGAAGCGAGAGUGACGGUACCUGCAGAAGAAGCGCCGGCUAACUACGUGCCAGCAGCCGC
rnacentral:rRNA from 1 species